rnacentral:rRNA from 1 species
GACGAACGCUGGCGGCGUGCCUAACACAUGCAAGUCGAACGAGGUCCAUGAGAGCUUGCUCUCGGAAGACCUAGUGGCGAACGGGUGAGUAACACGUGAACAACCUGCCCUGGAAUCUGGGAUAACCCGAGGAAACUCGAGCUAAUACCGGAUACCUUCCUCUGAUCGCAUGGUCGGUGGAAGAAAGAACUUCGUUCCAGGAGGGGUUCGCGGCCUAUCAGCUUGUUGGCGGGGUAACGGCCCACCAAGGCAGCGACGGGUAGCUGGAUUGAGAGAUCGAUCAGCCACACUGGGACUGAGACACGGCCCAGACUCCUACGGGAGGCAGCAGUGGGGAAUCUUGCGCAAUGGGCGAAAGCCUGACGCAGCAACGCCGCGUGCGGGAUGACGGCCUUCGGGUUGUAAACCGCUUUCAGCAGGGACGAAAAUGACGGUACCUGCAGAAGAAGCCCCGGCUAACUACGUGCCAGCAGCCGCCGCAGUAACAC